rnacentral:rRNA from 1 species
GGGACGAACGCUGGCGGCGCGCUUAACACAUGCAAGUCGAGCGAGAACCAGUCCUUCGGGACUGGGGACAGCGGCGAACGGGUGAGUAACACGUGGGUAAUCUGCCCUCGAUUCUGGGACAGCCCGGGGAAACCCGGAUUAAUACCGGAUAGCCUCUCGAGCUUUCGAGCUCGUGAGAAAAGGUAGCUUCGGCCUCCGAUCGAGGAUGAGCCCGCGGCGGAUUAGCUUGUUGGUGGGGUAAUGGCCUACCAAGGCGACGAUCCGUAGCUGGUCUGAGAGGACGAUCAGCCACACUGGGACUGGAGACGACCGCCCAGACUCCGUACGGGAGGCAGCAGGUAGGGGAAUCUUGCGCAAGUGGGACGAAAGCCUGACGCAGCGACGCCGCGGUAGGGAAAGACGGCCGUUGGUUACGUAACUCUU